AUGAUGUGCGAUUCCAACCAACGAUGGUCCGGAGGAAGGAACGUCACGGUUUUGAAUAUUCAGCCACUCGCUCAAAUUUGUCCCCAACAAAGACAGUCUGUAAAGAGUGAGUGAAAGCUGCUGGAUCUGCUGCUUGGUUGGGUUCAGCAAGUGAUGUGGACGGGGGAAAGGCCUGAGAGGGACACCCUGCCUGCUGAAGGGUCACUGACCAGCUUGGACCACACCACUGCAAAUAUGUCUUAUACCGUACUUCACAUUGAACAGGUCACGUCAAAUAAAYGUGUUAUUGCUGCUGUAAAGCUGUAACUUACUCUCUGAGAGCUGACCAUUAGUUAAGUAAYCAUUAUGUUUAAGAAAAUGUCUAAAUCUGCUUCAUGUAYUUGUGAAACACAGCAAUGGCACAAACGCACGUUACAUUUUACUGUGUGUGAACGAAUGGUUUUAACUGUGUAAACGUUUAURUAUAUUUGUGUUCCUAAUAAAACAUUGUCAUUUAC